GGGUAGGUAAUGGUCCUGCAUUGGCGGGGGAAGGAUGCCGAGAGAGUGCAAAUGAUUCUUUUCCACGGCCGCGAAAGAAAGAGGCAGACACCUGCACACUCGGUCACGACCUAAAAUAGACCUGUCCAACGGUGAUCCUCUCUGGGUCCAAACUCGGAACGGCAAACUGCUCUUGAACCCGCCUCCCAGCCUCAGAAGGCUGGCCUGCGUGGCACGGCGUGGUAGUGUGGUGGGAGCCACACAUUCCACGCUUUCGAAACCCCUGACGAUCCUCAGCAAUAGCACCAUGGGGCCACAGGCAGAAAAGUGAGGAAGCCAUGGUUUCUGUUUUCCAGCAGCUGAAAGACAGAGGAAUGGAAAUAAAAAAGCAAGCAUCCAAGUGAUUUCAACCUUUCGCUGGAAGCUGAAUGGUUGCUGAUUGCUGUCAGCUGAAUUCUGUUUUAUUUACCUAGUAUUACUGAUGUUAC